CAGCGCCACGAGUGGGAAUCGUGUUUAUUGGGCCUAAAGCGUCCGUAGCCGGUCAAGUAAAUCUUUUGUGAAAUCAUCGGGCUUAACCCGAUGGCGUGCAGAAGACACUGCUUGACUAGGAACCGGGAGGAGUCAGAGGUAUGGGAUGGGGAGCGGUAAAAUGCGAUAAUCCAUCUUAGACCACCUGUGGCGAAGGCGUCUGACUAGAACGGAUUCGACGGUGAGGGACGAAAGCCAGGGGAGCGAUCCGGAUUAGAGACCCGUGUAGUCC
rnacentral:rRNA from 1 species